UGGGGAAUUUUGCACAAUGGGGGAAACCCUGAUGCAGCGACGCCGCGUGAUUUAGAAGGCCUUCGGGUUGUAAAAAUCUUUUUUAUGGGAUGAAAAUGACAGUACCAUAAGAAUAAGGUCCGGCUAAAUACGUGCCAGCAGCCGCGGUAAUACGUAUGGACCGAGCGUUGUCCGGAAUCAUUGGGCGUAAAGGGUACGUAGGCGGCCCAGUAAGUUAGAAGUGAAAUAAUAUAGCUCAACUAUAUAAAGCUUUUAAAACUGCUAGGCUUGAGAGAUGGAAGGGAAAGUGGAAUUCCUAGUGCAGCGGUGAAAUGCGCAGAUAUUAGGAAGAAUACCGGUGGCGAAGGCGACUUUCUGGUCAUCAUCUGACGCUGAGGUACGAAAGCGUGGGUAGCAAACAGG
rnacentral:rRNA from 1 species